GGCAUCUUGGUUUCAGUGGACAAAGUGUCCAAAGGAUAUGCUAUAAUUGUAUUCCGUGGUAAGGACUACAGUCGACCACCUACUCUUAGGCCCAAAAAUCUUUUAACCAAAAGAAAGGCACUGGCACGUUCAAUAGAGCUUCAGAGACGCGAGGCUCUUCUGGAACAUAUUUCGGCAGUUCAAACAAGAGUUGGACAGCUUACAGCUGAAAUUGAACAACUAGCUAGUCUGAAAGACUCUGCGGAUGAUGAACUAUAUGAUAAGCUAAAUUCUGCUUAUUCUUCUGAAGACGAGGAUAGUGAGG
rnacentral:misc_RNA from 1 species